GUACAAAAACCUCCAUUAGUCAGACUGCACAGUGACUGUACUGCUACAGCUGGGACCUACUGCAGGUGCUGAGGGGAGGAGAUGAUCCAGUACAAUGACACAGUGUGUAGAAGAGCUGAACAACAAUAUCUAUUUCUGAUCUAUUAGAUCUGUUAGAUUUUCAAAUCUGUUAGAUUAUAUUCAGUCCUUCAUUGGUUCCUUAUUUAAUUUGAACAAAUUUUUCUUGAGUAUCUCAUGGAGAACCAUGAACCCAUCUAUCGUCAAACGUUCAAAUCUGGUAUAUUCCAAAACAGACUUAUCGAAAUUCCUUUUACAUUCAACAUCUCUCUAAAAAGCUUAAACUUAAGCUGACCUUUUCCUUAAGGAACAAGUCUUCUUUUUCUUUCAAUCUACAAAAGUCCUGGUUGCAGAAACUAUCUAGCCUGUGUUGGACUAUAUUAAUAUAUUAAUACUAGACACUCUACCAUGAUGCUGUUAGAUUAGUAACCAACACAAUACCUCUAACACAUCACUGUAUCUUGUCUCAGUUCCAAACAAAAUAACUGAGUUUGGUAAGAGUUCCUGUAGCGUUGCUGCCCCAUCUUGUAAUUUGAUAAUUUAAUUCUGAUUGAAGAUUUUAAAUGCAAGUUGGAGGACUAAUGCUGAUCACUGUCUGCACAUGUUUUAAACCUGCUCUUUGAAACUAUUUUAUGCACUUCGCUCUGUUUUUAACUUCCAUUCAUUGUUAUGUUUUAUACUGAGCAAAAAUGUAAAUGCAGAAAAUCAGUCAGUUUCUGGUGUGACCACCAUUUGCCUCAUGCGAUACAUCUCCUUCGCAUAGAGUUGAUCAGGCUGUUGAUUGUGGCCUGUGGAAUGUUUCCCCACUCUUCAAUGACUGUGCAAAGUUGCUGGAUAUUGGCGGGAACUUGAACACCCUAUCGUACACAUCAAUCCAGAGCAUUCCAAACAUGCCCAAUUGAAAUUUGCCACUGAGUAUGCAGGCCAUGGAAGUACUGGGACAUUUUCAGCUUACAGUAAUUCUGUAUAGAUCCUUGCGACAUGUGGUCGUGCAUUAUCCUGCUGAAACAUGAGGUGAUGGCGGCGGAUGUAUGGCACGACAAUGGGCCUGAGGAUCUAAUGCAUUCUCUGUGCAUUCAAAUUGCCAUCAAUAAAAUGCAAUUGUGUUAGUUGUCCGUAGCUUAUGCCUGCCUGCCCAUACCCCACCUCCAUCAUGGGGCACUCUGUUCACAUCGUUGACAUCAGCAAACUGCUCGCCCACACAACAUCAUACACGUGGUCUGCAGUUGUGUGUCCGGUUGGACGUACUGCCAAAUUCUCUAGAACGACGUUGGAGGCGGCUUAUGAUGGAGAAAUUAACAUUAAAUUCUCAGGCAACAGCUCUGGUGGACAUUCCUGCAGUCAGCAUUCCAAUUGCAAGCUCCCUCAAAACUUGAGACAUAUGUGGCAUUGUGUUGUCUGACAUGACUGCACAUUUUAGAAUGGCCUUUUAUUGUCCCUAGCACAAGGUGCACCUGUGUAAUUAUCAUGCUGUUUAAUCAGCUUAUCAUGUUUCAGGAAAAGAACCAGAUGCAGACAGUGUCGAAGUAACAAAAGUGUAUUACAAGAACAGGGGCAGGCAAAAUGACAAGUCAAGGACAGGCAGAGGUCAGUAAUCCAGAUCCAAAAGGUACAGAAUGGCAGGCAGUCUCAGGGUUGGGCAGGCAGAGGUCAAUAAUCUAGGCUGGUGUGACAAGGUACAGAAUGGCAGGCAGGCUCAAGGAAGAAAUAAUGGUCAAUACCAGAAAACAGGAACUAGAAAACAACAGGAGCAAAGGGAAAACCGCUGGUAGGCUUGGCGAACAAAAGGAACUGGCAACAGACAAACAGAGAACACAGGUAUAAAUACACUGGGGAUAAUUGGGAGGAAAGGUGACACCUAGAGGGGGGUGGAGAUAAGUACAAAAACAUGUGAAACAGAUCAGGGUGUGACACCGCUUCUUGGAGAGAAUAUGGAACAUUUCUGUGAUCUUUUAUUUAUUUCCCCAGGUAGAUGUUGUAAUUGAGAAUGUGUUCUCAGUCAAUUUAUCUGGUAAAUUAAGGGAUAAAUAAAUACAUAUUUCAGCUCAUGAAACAUGGGACCAACACUUUACAUGUUGCGUUUAUAUAUAUUUUUCAAUCUCAAUUUGUGAUGCAACAAAAUGUGAAAAACAGAGUCAGUCAGCAGAAUCACAGUCAACAAACAGAUUGCAGUUACUGAUCCUGACCACUGCAAAGAGACAGAAAGCCAAUGUUAUCUGGUCUAAUAACACAGUAUUAACAAUAUGAUCCAUUUGUCAGUCAAUAAUCAAUAUAUCAGUCCCCAUUCAGCACUUAUAUCAGAAAUCAUUUCAGUGAUUACAUAGCUAUCAUGUUUUGACAUCACAUCAGUCUGACUGUCCAAGAAGCCUAGUCACAUAUUGGACUAUUUCCAUAUAGAACAGUACAUGCUUCAGUGGUCUGGGAGUGUUUAUAGCCCUGUGACUUUAACACUUCAUGACUGAGAGCUGUCCUUCAUGACAACAGAACCCACAACAACCAUGACUUUUAGCACCAUCUUCAUCUGGAUACUUGCCCUCUGUCUCCAAGAGUCCAGAGGCCAGUACACUGUGACUCAAGACUCCUGCAGUGGAAACUAUUUCAGUGGGACACUCAGUCAGUCUCAGCUGUAAGACCAGCAGUGCUGUAUACAGUGAAGGCAAUGGACACUAUUUGCACUGGUAACAACAGAAACCUGGAGGAGCUCCUCAACUCCUGAUAUACUGGGCUAAAGCCCUUCAGUCUGGGACUCCAUCUAGAGUCAGUGGCAGUGGAUCUGGGAGUGACUUCAGUCUGGGGGACCUAGUAUGGCCUGUGUCCCUUUGUCUAGAUGUGCCCUCUCCAGGGUCUUGUGUGUUUGAGAAACCGUUACAAUUUCGUAUUACUACGAGGUCUGCCUGCCUUGACGGCGUUGAAAAUAAUUCACUCCUGUUGCCAUAUCUCCACCUUGAGGUUUGUAUAAAUUUCAUAUUUUAGUUAUAAACUCUAUAGUAUUUUCUAGUUUCCUCAGGGAUUUUUUUUCUCAAAGAGUAGACUCUAACCCGCCAUUGCUCUUUACCUUGAGAAUUUAUUUAGAUUUCCUAUUUAGUUAAACUCUAUAGUACUUUCUUAUUUCUCAGGGAUUUUUUUUCUCAUACAACGCCCAUAGUGACACUUACGCACUGUUAGCUUUACUUUCCCAAGGAAAUAAUACAAUUUCAAAGUAGUUAUACACUUUGAAUAGAGACUGGUGUUAAUCAUUUUAUAAUUAAUUUCCACCUGUUCCAACCAUUUCUAGUGAAUUUGAUCAGUCUUCACGGGAAAUUCUUAGGAUUCAGGGCUAUUUCCCUAAUCGUGUUAUUGGAGGGGCCGUCUGUUCCCUCUUGGUCAGCGGCCCCAGGGUAUUCCUGGUACGCACAUUGCGAGCCUAGUGCUGGGUAGACCUGCCGUUUGCCUGCGUAUCAUUUCCUGUUCUGUACCAUUAUUUUCUACACUACUUUGCUCCUCAUGAGCUGCCGUAGUAUCUAUGGUAGUUGCCAUUUAGGGUUCUUUUCUGGAAUUUUUUAUUAUCCCCGAAAGUUGUCUACCCUCAAAUCCUAGAAGGUAUUUUAUGGCUGUCUGGUCUACCGUUCUCAGUUUACCCCAUGGUAAACCCGGUACGACGAAACAUCCUGAUGGUUUGUAAGGCACUAGCUCGCCUAGUCCUUUGUAAUUCCUCCUCGUCCGCAUGGAGAGCCAAUGCUCUUCCUGCGUCUGGGUAGGUUGGUACUGCCGUAGCCAUAUCUCUAACUCUUUAAAGAUACCUACUUUAGUAAGUUGUUUGGAAAUAGAGCGCUGGUAGGGGCUGUUAACUCGGGUAGUAGUAGAGUCUUAAAUAGAGGUGUGGGGCCCCACGUUGGGCACCAAGUGUCGCGAUACGAAACCUUCAGCCCUGUCCCUUGGCCGGCCCUUUCUGAUAUUCUGCAUAGCACCAGGGACAUGUGAAAGACAAAGCCUGACCUCUCCCCUCUCUGGGGAGAUGUCCCUCAGCUGGUGACUGACCACCAGCUGAGGGAAAAGUUCAACUGCCAACACUUUAGUCCAAAGGGAUACAUUCUAAUGACAAUUAUCUCACAUAAGCAUAUUAUGCAAAAAAACAUCUUAAUGAUCUAUGUUACCCAACUAAUUCUGAUUCAUCCGCCACACCUCUGACACCGCCUGGUGUAGACGUCCUGGAUGGCAGGCAGCUUAGCCCAAGUGAUGUACUGAGCCGUACGCACUACCCUCUGUGGUGCCCUGCGGUCAGAGGCCGAGCAAUUGCCGUACCAGGCAGUGAUGCAACCAGUCAGGAUGCUCUCGAUGUUGCAGCUGUAGAACCUUUUGAGGAUCUCAGGACCCAUGCCAAAUAUUUUUAGUUUCCUGAGGGGGAAUAGGCUUUGUCGUGCCCUUUGUUGUUGAUGUGGACACCACGGAACUUGAAACUCUCAAUCUGCUCCACUACAGCCCUGUCGAUGAGAAUUGGGGGGG